CCACAUGGUCUAGUGCUUAGGAUAUCUGACUCUCAACCAGGAGACCCGGGUUCGAUUCCCGACGUGUGAAGU